rnacentral:lncRNA from 1 species
UGAGCUUUCCCUCGGAAUUUGAUACCCAUACGAUCAAUAUGUCCCAUCAGGUUAGUGUUAACUAGAGAAAAGAAAAGCAAGAAUUUAGUCAGGAUUUAGCCAGAUGCCGAAAGAAGAAAAGAAGAAAAAUAAAAUAAAAUAAAGAAUAAGAAGAAUGAAUACUGAAUAAAAUUAAAAGAAUAAUCAAAGAGAAAUAAAAGUUUGU